rnacentral:rRNA from 1 species
CAUGCAAGUCGAGCGAACAGAUGAGAAGCUUGCUUCUCUGAUGUUAGCGGCGGACGGGUGAGUUCACGUGGGUAACCUACCUAUAAGACUGGGAUAACUCCGGGAAACCGGGGCUAAUACCGGAUAAUAUUUUGAACCGCAUGGUUCGAUAGUGAAAGACGGUUGCGGCUGUCACUUAUAGAUGGACCCGCGCCGUAUUAGCUAGUUGGUAAGGUAACGGCUUACCAAGGCGACGAUACGUAGCCGACCUGAGAGGGUGAUCGGCCACACUGGAACUGAGACACGGUCCAGACUCCUACGGGAGGCAGCAGUAGGGAAUCUUCCGCAAUGGGCGAAAGCCUGACGGAGCAACGCCGCGUGAGUGAUGAAGGUCUUCGGAUCGUAAAACUCUGUUGUUAGGGAAGAACAAAUUUGUUAGUAACUGAACAAGUCUUGACGGUACCUAACCAGAAAGCCACGGCUAACUACGUGCCAGCAGCCGCGGUAAUACGUAGGUGGCAAGCGUUAUCCGGAAUUAUUGGGCGUAAAGCGCGCGUAGGCGGUUUCUUAAGUCUGAUGUGAAAGCCCACGGCUCAACCGUGGAGGGUCAUUGGAAACUGGGAAACUUGAGUGCAGAAGAGGAGAGUGGAAUUCCAUGUGUAGCGGUGAAAUGCGCAGAGAUAUGGAGGAACACCAGUGGCGAAGGCGGCUCUCUGGUCUGUAACUGACGCUGAUGUGCGAAAGCGUGGGGAUCAAACAGGAUUAGAUACCCUGGUAGUCCACGCCGUAAACGAUGAGUGCUAAGUGUUAGGGGGUUUCCGCCCCUUAGUGCUGCAGCUAACGCAUUAAGCACUCCGCCUGGGGAGUACGACCGCAAGGUUGAAACUCAAAGGAAUUGACGGGGACCCGCACAAGCGGGGGAGCAUGUGGUUUAAUUCGAAGCA